UCCUGGAUUUUAGUUGUAAAGGUUCCAUCUGUGUUUUCCUCUGUUUGUCUGAGAGAGUCUUGUUGGAGAUUCCAGGUGAGUUCAGGAGGUGAGUGUGGACAGGGAGUGAAAGCUGAGCAGGUUACAGUGACAGACUGAUGCUCCUUCAGGUCAGAGGGAACAUUAAUGCUGGGACUCCAAGGAGAAU